GUGCUGCCUUUGCGGCCACCGUAGCUGCUUCAUUUACCCUCGCACUCCUUCAGCUAAAAGGGGGCAUUCAGCGCGGGUGCGCCAUCAUUCACGAAACAAUCUGCAGUGCGGACAGAACAAGUCUUGGACGGAAGCGUCCUGCUUGUAGUCGUGUGAUUGUCGUUGUGGUUGUCGUCUAUUGUUACUGGUCAUCGUCGUUUUGGUUGUUACUGUUCCUUUGUAGUAUUCUUCAACAUCCCCAUGAAUCAUUAUAGAGUCGAAAAAAAGUUACCGUAACCAUUAUUGAUAUCAUUCUAACCAAACACAACACUAGCAGCAUUAGUGAAAGUCAUUGUACAAACCGCAACGGUUCGGCCAUUCGACGACAGGUGUUUACCAUUGAAACGCGGUGCGCGUCUCUGUGUAUAUCUCAGUGUUGGGUAUUGUGAAGGUGCCAAAGACUUGCGUAUGUACUUCUGCACUAAAUGUAACGGUGUGUAAUAGAUAUGCUUGUAGUGAUCACAUUUAUGUAGUUUGUGAACUUCCAUUUUGCUCCUCCAAAACGUGAAACUGUCCUUACAGUCCGCCCGCCCCGUGUACGUGCUCCGUUGAUUCUAACAGACGGACGGUUUAUUCAGAUCGAUCAAGAUACGAUUGUAUUAUUACCGUGUCGACUUCUUCAGCUCGCGUACGACUUGGCGCCGUCAAAAAAGUCUGGACGGUAGCGAUUCUUUGUGUCAGCCAUACUAGUAAACAUUGGCAAAGAGAACGACACACAUUAAAAGGAUACCCCUCUAACGAUUCUACGGCAGGAUGAAUCCGUUCAGCGGUGCUCCUAUCAUUAGCGCGAGGUUUGCAUAACCGAAAGACAAGCGUGAAUAAGGCGGUCACGGAAGAAAAAAAACGUCAUACAAGAUAAUAUUAUACAGCGUUGUAUAAUGACAUGAGUUUUAUACUUACGAAGAAGGCACCCGUCUGUCUACGCUGAUGUUUGCAAUCUAACCAAAAGAGAUAAAAUCCUGGUGAUCGUAAUGUCGCCUAUACGAAAACGCGGUCGGGUCACACAACAACGUCAAGCUAGUAAUGACGCUACGCUAGAUGAAGCUAUUUUACUCGUCUAAUGUCUGUCCUUCUUCGAUCACCUGUUCGACGUCGCUGUCCUUUAUCUUUGAUCGUUCCUGUUCGUGGUAUGUGUUUAUUAGAUUCCUAGGCGCAGUAGGAGACACACAAAUGGCGUCCCAUCAAGUAGCCGCUAAUUCAACAACGUAACUCAUUUCUACACGUCGUUUAUAACCGACAGGCGAAGAACAGAAGAAGGACUUCGGCCAAUCGAGAUCAGCGGAUUAUUAUGAGUCAAAUGUUUUAUAAUUUGUCCGUCAUAUCGGUUGUGUCUAGUAACUCUUGGCGGUUUCAAUCUUAGCAUUGGUAUUAUUAUCGCUUCCAUAUCAUCAAUUUGGUGUCAUAAAGAGUUAAUAAAUAACGAAUCAUUAAUUAAUGAAAAAAGAUGGAUGCUUACAAUAAGCCUGCAUGUACAUACAAGAUCAAAAAAAUCGGAUACUUCAAAUAUACGCGUCGUCGACGGAUAGAGUGAAACCAAUAUAUUGGAAUAGUAGUUUAAAAAGCAGUUAACAGGUUACCUUCAACUAGAAUAGAGUAUUUGAUUUUCCUUGCACCCUUCUUUUUACCGACGUCGUUUAGCUAGACCCACCUCGUAGCAGUCGAUCAGCAUGUAAUGUCUAGGUACUGGAAAUUAACAUUGCCGGCUCGAAUAGAACGAUUAAUAAUAACAUACAUAGCGCGAUGAAGUACCCAAAAUAAACACGAGUAACACGAUGCUUCGAAAUAAAGACAUUUUCGACCUUCAAACCUCGCUGGCGUCUCUGACAAGGUUAGAGAAUCUAACUAACUUCCACGCGAUAACACCCGCAUUGGUGUUAGCAGGUAAAUUUCUUCUGUUUGCAAAAUGUUCAGGCUCCACUAGUUAAGGUCACGACACAUGUGCACUGGUCAGACAGAAGUAUGGACCGUUUCGCAAAAAGUUUUUGAAUGCCAGAGAAAAUAUUCAAAUUCGUAUCACCCUCUAGCUUAGCAUUGAAACGCUCGUCUAAGUUAGAUAUAUUGUUGUGUACCUUGGCCAAAAAAAACAAGUAGGCGUCACUAGCUGUAAUAGGAAGGUCAAAAAUUGUAUCGGCCGCUUAUUAGCGUUUCUCUGAUACACGCGACUUCACCAUUACUGCUACCGGUCCAGUGUGGCCAUAUCCGAUGCUCGGUCUUUAAGAUAUAAAUGUGCGUUAUUGGCUUAUAGUUCGACGAAGAUAUGUACUGGUUAAGCUGGUCACUGGCUGAAGUUAAUCAGACUUUUUCGAAAAAAGUCUGAUUUCGUUUCGAAAACGUCCGCGACUUUGCCAGCCCCGGGUCUCCUUCGGGAUUCGAAGCAGACGCAAUGAAUAGGAGACCGCUAAAAACGCUGCGAGUUUUCUGCAUGGGUCAGACAGUCGGUCGACAAAAAGCGACGGCGAUACAAUAAGCACUAUUUACCGGACUUGUAGCGUAGUAGCAGCCAUAUCACUUCAUCAUAAUCACUACUGGAUUGGUCUGGCUGACUUCGAUACCAACCGGCUCGACUAAUGUAAACAUGGCCACGCAAAGACCUGUCGGCUGCAAUAGCUUGUGAACAAAAGCCGCGAUAUUUACCGAGACAAAAGGGCAAAAUCCACAAAACAAAUUAAUUGGCGGCAUAAAUCGCUUCGGACGGCAGUAAGUUAAGUUACCAAAUUCGAGUUACGUUGUAUAAGAAAUGCGAGUCGCCGAUUGGAAGGCUUUAUCGUCAGAUCGCUUAGAGUAAAUGCGCUUUUGGGGGGUGGUGAUCAUUGCAGUAAACUUGAGUCAGUAUUUUAGAAGGAAAAAAAACUACAAACAUCGAAGUUUCCAAGUGAGAGAACCUAACUUGAGCACACGGUUAUUGAAACGAAAAUAUGCCUCUUGGUUUUUUAUUGCUAUUGCGUUUAUCCUUAACGCGGUACAUAUGUUACAAUGAAGAUAAUUUUUCAUUAAAAAUUUUUUGUUGUAGUUUUUUGUUUUAGUAAUUGACCACCUUCCUAUCAUCGAUCCGAUGGAAAAUAGGUGCGCUUAACAGAAAACGUUUAAUAGAAGCUAAUAUCUGUGAAUGGUUGAAUUUCGUCUCAAAAAAAAAGACUCAUAAACAAUAACAGCAAUAACAGCUGCACAAGAGAGCACCUUAUUGGUGUAAGUGAGCUAUUACAGUUUCUACGGUAAACUAAUUUUAGCAAAGACAUUAAUUUAGCAAUUCAGACGAAGUCUAGUGACACCAAAUAAGUAAGCAUUUACGCUCCUCGUUUAAGCUAAGAGAUUUUUGUUUCACGUAAUAGCCAUUGCCUCGACUGUUUGCGCGAUCCUCCUUCGCUCGUGGAGGUUCAUUACAUGCUGCGAGCGUUAACUAUAGGAAGUGACGGGAGUUCUUCGUGAAGCUUCUUACCAACGACACUCUUUGGCAAUAAAGAAAAUCAUAGCGUUGCAUUUUAAUUACCAACUGACCUUUUUGCCGCCGUCAAACUUCCAAUAGAUGUUUCUUUAUUCCAGAACAUCUGUAUGCCUCUAAAAAUCAGUUGAUGUAAUUUAGUUUUGACGAUGUCGAUAUUAGUGACGAAGGCACACGAGGGUUACCGUAUACCAAGUUCAAGUCGCCCUCUAAACCUCUAUCCAUAUGAAAAAAAUCCUCGAAGAGGAAGUAGACGGGAACAAGGCAAGCAACAAGAUACAGUUGAAGUUCAAUAGUACUUGUCUAAAGUCAAUUACUUAACGCCGAAAGCCCGAUUUUCCUAUUUUAAGCUAGAAAGUUUCCCGUAAGCCCAUUCAUUAGUUAAGAGCGUGGGUAUAUACCUUGGAUCUCUUUUCUUGUAGGGAAGCAUAGCGUUGUACUCUUUCCGGCAUAGAUGGUGAUUAUAUCUUUUUUGGAGUUUUACUACAAGAUCCAUGUUAAGAUUAUGCUUGUGAAAAAUAUGAAAAGGUAAACAUUCAAUAGAUCAGUAUUAAGCGAUUAAAAGUGAAUAUAUAUACAAUAAAAUAUGCGUGAAUCUAUAUGCAGGUUUUACAUAAGAUUCAUAUAUUGCGAACUACUAGAUAUACUCUACUUGUAUUCGUUGCUUUAGAUAUAACGUGUAGCAUACUCAUUUGGUCUCGAUAACUUACUGAAUUUUUAUAACUUGUGUUCGUUCUAUAUCAAACGACGCUCACAGUUCCCUUACGGGUAUAGGGAAGUGUACGACCGUAUCUUUCCAAAGUUACGCAACGCCUGACGUCUGAUUGUUGUGGCCUUACACACAAACACCGAAGAAGACGAUCCCCCCAAAGUAGGGACUAAAGAACUGCCGCGAAGCCUAUCCAGCUUGGCCUAUGGCCGCGGAUUAAUAACUUAAUUUACACACCGUCGUAUAAUAAACAUGUAUAUAUAUAUAUUUGUUUUUAAAUAUUAAUUCACAUUUAAGUCAUUGAUCGAUGGAGUAUUAGCGCGCGCUAGAUCACAAACCAGAAUAGCUCGACCGUAUCUAGCAGUCGCCUAGGAAAGACAGACUUUUCCUUUUAAGAACAAAAAGCACAUAUAGACACAAGGAUAAAUGACUGUCCCAUAAGUGUAUUCUCUGUUUCAAAUAGAAACGCAUGCGUUUUGAAUUAGCGUAAAGCGUGAUAUGCAGCAUUAAUACAAAAUUGAUUGGGAUUAUACUGCUGUAAACGUGCGGGGGUGUGGUAAUUACUAAUUAACCCAGCGGAUUUCGAUUGAGUCAAUAAUCAGGGGGCAAUUAUAAAAAAAAGAAAAAAAUAGGACGCUGCUUAAUUUUGAUCGUUUUAUUGGAUGUACGCAUAUAUUUCAUCCAAUAAAAAUUUGAAAAUGAUCUCAGCGAAUGUAUCAUAAGCCAGCCGUUGAUGCAAAUGCAAUUCCUGUCAAGCGGCGUUGGAUCCUUUAAUAUCGUAGCGGAAUUAUUUUUUUUGCAUGAAAUUGGCCGUUCGAAGUACUUCGGGUAGCGACCCCGAAUUGGACGGAACAGGCAGUGACCACGAUGGAUCGAGUGCAGUUCAGUUGCACUGAUCUCAUCUGGUACUAACUAGGACGGUUACGUCUGUGGUACCACAAUGAUAAUAGUACCACAGACGAUACAAAUAUUUGUCAAGCAGAUUAAAACAUGUCCUUGCAGUAAUCACAGGCAAAAAGCCGUCAACGAAGAGACUUCGGUGCCGAGCUCGUUGCGAAAACAGGUGAUGAUAUACGCCUAUCCGUUAAGUUGUGAUAUAUCAGUUAUGGAACUGUAGAUAGAUAUGGAAGAAAAAAUAUUUUCCGUUCCUUUUUUGUAAAUCUUAGGCGCCGUGAUAAACAAGGUGAGGAUCUUCGCUGAAUUGCGGCUCAUCUACAUUAAGUUAGAUUGAGUAGAUUUGCAGGUAUGGUGACAAGUCGUAUGCUGAUGGAGGGUAUAGUCCUGUAGGUUUGAAAUCUUAAAUAUUGCAAAUUUACUGGAAUAACUAAAUCGCAACUUGGACAGUUAAAAUGUUACGACAACAUCACUACGCCACUAGACUUCAUAAAUCUAAAUCAAAUGCCCCAUAGGAUGCACAGGAAAAGUCGAUGUACAAAAAACUGCACACUUCCUGUGCACAGCCGUGUGUUUAACUGUAUUCGUUAUGAAUCUGCAAAUGUACCAUUAUUUGAAUAAAGAAACAACAAACUUUGUGUAAAAGCAGCGUAGAGCCUUCUUAAGGUUCGUUAGCUUCCAGGCUAGUGAUGGCACAGGAUGUCCAUGGUCACAAUUCUGCAAGCCACUGACAACAGCAGCGUACCCAGUAAAAGUGCAGCGCUUUCUGAAAAGUUCUUACAACGUUCAAAAUGUUUCUUUGUUUUACUGUAGCUACGUGUCCAGGGAGUCAUCAAUCGAUUACCUCUUUAAAUCAAAAAGGAAGCUAUUAGCAAAUCGGCUGUGCAGGUCACACGUGGGUUACUAUAUGCUACAGAUAAUUGUGUGAAGCCACGCUUUUAACAUAUCAUAAUGUUGUGAAGAUAGCCACACCUAAGUCUUCAGCAAUUUGACAGAACUCUCACUAUUCGGUAGGGGUAGGCCAACCGUUCCUCCCGGUAGCGAAGGUCUACAGAGUUGGCAAUCCUUACAAUGAAAUGCACCUGUACCUACGACGGGGCUAGAUAAACAGCUAAGGCUACAAUGGGAUGUUAUUGAAAUUCGCUGCAUUGCCAAUUGGACAUCGAACCGGUCUCUAUUGUCGUAAGGAACCUAUUCAAUUGAUUUCACUUCAUGUAGCUCUGCCUAAAAAAGGGUACCCUAUCAAUCACUUCAUCCAUCUUGUUCAUGGAUGAAUUAGGAUCGUUAGUUUCAUUCUGCCUAGAGCGAGGCUAGUUUUGGUGAUCAAAUGACCACUUAUGAGAUUCAAGUGACAGCAAGUCCAUUUGGUAAAGCCGUAUUACGAUACUUCAUGACAGGAAAAACACUCGUGUCAGUGUCUGUUUCGUGGAACUAUAAAAUGAGUACCUAUCGGGAAUAAUCUGUCUCAGUAGCAUCAAAUCUAUCAGCCAUAGAUGGAGGUUUUUCGGUUACGUUAUAACCGUUUCCGAUUUUCGUAAUGAAAAAAACUGAACGGUUUUGAGCGUCACUGAACUAUUAUUAGAAACAGUUCUUCCAGCCUGUGUAUGCGAUUGAUUACAUGUGCUGAUAAAUGGAUAAAGCACACGAUAUAUGUAUUUUGGUAAUUUCAGGCCAUAAUCACUAAAUGAAUAGAUAGUUUAUGGUGUAUAAAGAUAUUGCGAACGCCCUUAUUUGUUCGAUGAAAAUCGACAGGUUACUUCGGCAGACCGAAGCAGCUCAUUCCAGCGUGUUGCUACUACAUAAUAUGUAUAUAUAUGGUCUAACAUACGUGGCAUCCCGAGGCUGGAAUUGGCAAGCGUUCGUUGUUCCUAGUUGGGCGUGUAUUUAAUUGUCGAUACGGUCGGUAUAUUGAUUGUGACCGAAAUUUCUAGUCAAAAUUAGAAGCAUACAUCCAUAACUUCCGUCGAAUCAACUUCUCUUGCCGAAAGAACCAUGCAGAUUACAUAUUUAUCACACGACUUAAUUAUAUGUACAUAUAGCGUAUAGCUUUCAUCCAUAGUUCUAACUCCCAAUAUUUUGCUUCAUGUGGACGUCUAUAAGCAUUAUAAGAUAAGGUUACUAUUGAAUGUCGAACAAGGUUUGCACACGUCGUUCAAUGAUGCUCUAUACAGCUUUUGAAAUUGCAGCUCCGUUAAGAAAGGCGAUUUUUUCAGCGGGCAUACGUACGUAGAUAGAAACAGUUAGUAGUUUCUUUGGUGUUCCGACAGGUUGACCAAAAAGCAGCUUCCAAUAUGUUCAAUAUACGGACACUGCAAAACGGGUUUACGUAGUUCCAAAGAGACAACUUCAAUGUGUAUCAAGUCAAUGAGAGACAAACAUCUACAUGAAUAAACAAGUAUAGCAUUGUUCUAGGUAAUAGAAAUUUCAAAAUAAUUACCUUAUCAGCAGGCGCUCGCAGUGAGCCGUAUUUUAGAGAUCCCUUGAAAAAAGUCUUCUUAUCUUGAAUUAUUAAUAUUGGUGUGUAGAAGAUAAAAUAAUCUGUCAAAUAACAAUCUCAUCUAGCAACAAUAUGGCACCGGAAGGUCACUGAUAUAACAUUAUGCAUUGUUAUUUCCACUGAGCUACCCAACUGAACCUGUAAAUGUGACCUUUAUCGGCUGUCUGUAUGCCGUAAACACUAUUGAGCAUCUAACUAAAUCGAUAUCAUAUCUGUUAUUUCUACAUACGAACACCAAGGUUUUGUCAUAGAAAAUCAAAAGUUUGAAACGAAUUAAGAGUAGUGUCAAAAUUAACUUUUUUCAUCCACCAUAGCACACAACUAAAAUUUACCGAUUCAUUUUAUUUUUCAGACCCCUUACUAGCCAUAUUUAUAUUUCUUAGGUAAAAAUCAGCGGCAUAGUUACAAACUACGUUACGUGAUCAUGGAUUACAGGUCAUUUGUUUAUGCUCGCAUCGUGACAACGUAAACAAUAAACAGCCAAUUGUGGGGAGUAAUAAUGACCAAACCCAGUUACCGUGGGUUAUUCCUUCGGCUUCAUUUUCAAGUACACCGCAUCUCUAAGCAAUGCUCGUUACAUAAUGUAGUUAAGUGAGCGCGAAUAUUGAUACAGGCAGGGCAGCA